rnacentral:rRNA from 1 species
AGUCGAGCGAAUUCUGGCAGCGUAUCGUCAGAGUUAGCGGCAGACGGGUGAGUAAUACUUGGGCAAUCUGCCCUUGAGUGGAAAACAACCGGCCGAAAGGCUGGCUAAUGUUCCAUAAGACCACAGGAUGGCAUCAUCCAGGGGUCAAAGCUCCGUAAGGGGCGCUUGAGGAGGAGCCUGAGGCCUAUCAUGGUAGUUGGUGAGGUAACGGCUCACCAAGCCUUUGACGGGUAGCCGGCCUGAAAGGGUGAUCGGCCACACUGGCACUGAGACACGGGCCAGACUCCUACGGGAGGCAGCAGUGGGGAAUUUUGGACAAUGGGGGCAACCCUGAUCCAGCGACGCCGCGUGAAGGAUGAAGGUCUUCGGAUUGUAAACUUCUUUUAAAGGGGAUGAAUGACCUGGUGAAUAGCCAGGUAUGACAGUACUCUUUGAAUAAGCCACGGCUAACUACGUGCCAGCAGCCGCGGUAAUACGUAGGUGGCAAGCGAUACUCGGAAUCACUAGGCGUAAAGCGCAGGUAGGCGGUUCGGUAAGUCUUUUGUGAAAGCUCCCGGCUUAACUGGGAGAGGUCAAGGGAAACUGUCGGACUAGAGUGUGUAGGGGAUACUGGAAUUCCUGGUGUAGGUAAUGCGUA